AUGCUCACUCUGGCAACACAUAUACUAAAAUUGGAACGAUGAAGGGAUUAGCAUGGCCCCUGCGCAAGGAUAGCACAAAAUCAUGAAGCAUUUCAUAUUUGA